UACGUAGGGUGCGAGCGUUAAUCGGAAUUACUGGGCGUAAAGCGUGCGCAGGCGGUUCGUCGUGUCCGAUGUGAAAGCCCCGGGCUCAACCUGGGAAUGGCAUUGGAAACUGGCGGACUCGAGUGUGGCAGAGGGGGGUGGAAUUCCGCGUGUAGCAGUGAAAUGCGUAGAGGUGCGGAGGAACACCGAUGGCGAAGGCAGCCCCCUGGGCUAACACUGACGCUCAGGCACGAAAGCGUGGGGAGCAAACAGG
rnacentral:rRNA from 1 species